rnacentral:piRNA from 1 species
UCCACUGUAAUCCGAAUACUUUGCCAGU